AACGCACAUUGCGCCCCUCGGUAUUCCGGGGGGCAUGCCUGUUCGAGCGUCAUUACACCACUCAAGCCUCGCUUGGUCUUGGGCGUCCGCGGUUCCGCCGCGCGCCUCAAUGUCUCCGGCUGAGCCGUUCGUCUCGAAGCGUUGUGAUCCACAGUCCGCUUGCGAGGGCGACCGGCUUGUUCGCCGUUAAACCCCCCCAUUUUUCAGGUUGACCUCGGAUCAGGUAGGGAUACCCGCUGAACUUAA
rnacentral:misc_RNA from 1 species